AUAGCUGACGAGUCCCAAAUAGGACGAAACGCGCAUCCUGGAU
rnacentral:hammerhead_ribozyme from 1 species